CCUACUUGUCUGAAGUGAAGCUGACUUUGCAGCUGACUAGCCUCCUUCAGUUGCUUUUUGCACAGUGAACCCUCCAGGGAACUCUCUUCUCAUCUUUGAUGAAUGAAUUGUUCCUUUGCUGCUUUUGCUACCCUGUGGGUGCCAUGUUUUAUCUCCUCUGCGAUACCUGUUUGCCAUCCCUGCCUUGGAGCCAGGUGAUUAUGGACUGAAACUUCUACAAAUUUGCACGUUGUUCAGAAUACUAAGAAGCUCCUGGCCAGACAUGGUGGUACAAGCCUAUAAGCCCAGCACUCAGGAGGCAGAGGCAAGAGGAUCACUGAGUUCAAAGCCAGGCUGAACUACAUAGUAAGACCCUGUCUCAAAAAAAAAAAAAAGCUCCUGAUAAAAGAGGAAGACGAGAGAGGUAACAAGAAUGGCCUGCCACACAGGAAAGGAAAACUAAGCACUUGUACUGUCAGGUAAGCAAAAUGUGUGCAUGGAAUAUAUAGCUGUCAUGUGAAGAUUGCCUUGGGUGUGACAAUUGAAGAAAAGAUUUUUUUGAAAGGAUUGUUUUUGUUGUAGAGUUCUGUUGGUAUUUUCGUUGUAGUUCAUAGAGGAUUGCAAGUUCCCCACACACCCCCUUGGUACCAGGGCUUGUAUGUAGUUCAUAGAGGAAUGUAUUUCUGAUAAUUAUCUUUUAGGUUUUGUAAGUACACAGCUGAUGUGAGAAUGUUGAUGUUUAUUCUAAACAUGUAAUAUGUAUUAAGAAUUUAAUACUUUAGUGUAUUGAUAUUUUAUGUUCCUCUUAACUACACAUUGUAUAAUAAAAACUUCCUAGCUGGGUGUAGUGGUG
rnacentral:lncRNA from 1 species